rnacentral:lncRNA from 1 species
GUACACCCUCAGCACCUGGGAUAUGGGGAAGGCGGCGUCAAGACCCUCUUUCCUCAGAGGGGCCCGUCGGCAAUUCAAGUCCUGGCAGUUGUCACUCUCCUCCCUGUUGGUGGCACCCUCUUUGGUCUCGCUGGUCUCACAUUAGUUGGGACCUUGAUCGGCCUUGCCCUCACCACCCCACUCUUUGUGAUCUGCAGCCCGGUUCUGGUGCCUGCUGUUGUCCUCUUCGGCCUGGCCGUCACUGGCUUCCUCUCGUCUGGAGCCUUCGGUCUC